rnacentral:tRNA from 1 species
GCCUGGGUGGCUCAGUCGGUUAAGCGCCGGACUUCGGCUCAGGUCAUGACCUCACGGUUUGUGGGUUCGAGCCCCGCGUCAGGCU